GCCCAUAGAGCGAGAUGAGCGCCACAACCUCAGAGUCGGUCACGACUGGACAUAAUGGUCAGGGGUCCCUUUACCUUUGCCUUAUGUAUGAUUAGCAUGUUCUUAAUAUCAGAAUGAAGUUUAUCACAGGUGCACCAGCUGACCCCCUAACAUGUUUUGCUGAAAGAAAAAUGGCCUCUGCACAGCCACAUGCAUGCCAGCUUCCCAACCUAUUCGUUCACAGCAUCAAAGAACCAGGCUUUGAGCAAAGUUUCAGCCUUGGGGCCUGUAAGAAUUGUAGAGUGUAAUUUACUUUGUUAGGGGUGGCAAAGAGGGAAAGUACGACUCUCCAGAGAGGGAGUUUUACCCCCAGAGGUGUCUUGAAACAGAAUAAAUCAAAUAAGCUGUGACAUUUUUUAGAACUUAUUCUGCUGUGUGUGGGUUUUUUUCAGCUGAGAAAAGUCUAGCAAAAGGGUGUAUGAAAUGCACAGGGUUAAGCUACAGAGAGAAACUGGUCUUUCUCCUCUCUGUGAUCAUAUAAAAUCUUAAGCACGUCAUGUAAAUGAGCAAAGGUUCCUGUCCAGCUGGUGGGGGAAAUGGCGAGGAUCCAAGAAGGCCUGCAAGGAGUGAUAAAAGAAACUGAUUGCAGCCGUCAAAUGCAAUGCUGUUCAUCUUUCCUGCUGGCCCAUCAAACACGAUGAAUGCUGAACAGAAAAACUGACAAACAGAUGAAAAGACUAACAGAACCUAGGAGUCAGUGAAAGCAAGCUGUUAGAAAACGCAAGUCGCAGGUAAACUCCAUUUGAGACAGCUGUUGCCUAUGUGCAUGCACAGAUGACAUCUUCAUGACAGUUUGGAGGAGGGGUUGCAAGCGUGGAGGAACCGAGCAGGCUGGCCAAGACUCUUCUUCUGCCAGAAACAUGAAUGUUGUACGAACUGUGUGUUUGCCUGUGGAAGGGCCAAAGAUCCUCAAGAUACUUGUUUGGACUUCUUGAGGAACACUGUGAGAAAAGGAAGCACACCCAGCAGAGCUCAUGACAACUUCAUACAAUUGCAGUAAUUCUUACAUCAUGGGCCACCGCAUACAUGGGUUCUGGCUGUGCUGUGUGGUGCAGGUGGUAAUAAUGGCAUCUUGCCCCAAGAAUCAACAUACAUGAUUCCCUUCUCAAUGAAUGGCUUCUUGCUACACGGAGAGUCACCAAACGGAGUAAACAAAAGCAUCUUCUAAGAGGGGUCAACACCAGUAAGUCCUUUUGAACAGUGUGUUACGCUAAAGUCAUGCACAAACACAGAUUUAUGUAUCUGAGAAAAAUCUGUACCUGUA